GGAGGGAUCAUUAACACGUAUUCAAUUUUAAUCGAGUUGCUGCUAUUAGCUUUUAAUUAAGCGAAAUAACACUACUCGGUUAGAAACAUUCAGUGAACUGUUUCUUUGCGAAAGCAAAAAAGCAAAACAACUUCUUGUGAUUUUAAGGAAGAAUAACUUGACCUUCAUUAUUAUUAAUUUAUGUGUUGGUAUUGGGUCUUGAGUUACCUAAUAAAAAUAGUUAAACAAAAUACUGUAACAGUAAACUUUAAAAAAACAAAAAACAACUUUUAACAAUGGAUACCUUGGCUAGUCUUUCGAGGAAGAGCGCAGCUAAUAGCGAUAUUUCAGGUAAACUGCAGAUAGUGUGAUUCCUUGAGUUUUUGAACGCAAAUUGUGCCCUAGCUUCGCUAGGGCGUGUCUGUUUGAGCGCCGAAUUCAAAUUUAGAAUGAAAAUAACCUUUUCAUUACUUGGACCUGCUACUCUUUCUAAUAGAGGAGCCUGUCUUAAACAUAAAUCCAACCUGGGCAUCAUUAAAAGAUAUUAAUGACAAACCUAAGGGCGGGCAUCGGUUAAUUAUUAGACGAUGGCUAAACUUUAGUAGUAGUUUUUAAAAUCUGAAGUCAAAGAUUGGAGUUUAACUGGGUAUUGAUGAUGAUAAUAAUCUUACUUUAUAAAUCUCGGCAUCAAAUCAAGCACGAUUACCCACUGAAUUUAAGCAUAUUAAUAAGUGGAGGAAAGAAACCAACAGGGAUACCCUUAGUAAUGGCGAAUGAAGCGGGUAUAGCUCAGGCUGAAUCGGACAGACUUUUGGAUGUUCGAAUUGUGGCACAAGCCUACUGCUCAUCAAUGGACCAAAAUAGUAUAGAAGUGCACUGGAACGUGCCGCCAUGGAGGGUGACAGCCCCGUACGUACUAGUUUGAUGUAAGUUGGUGGGUGUAGGCACGAGUCGGGUUGUUUAAGAUUGCAGCCCUAAUACGGGUGGUUGAUCCCAUCCAAAGCUAAAUAUGAGGACUAGACCGAUAGCGAAAAAGUACUGUGAAGGAAAGGUGAAAGAACCCUGAAAAGGGGGUUAAAAGCACUUGAAAUUGUUAAAAGGGAACCACACUCGGACAGUAACUGAAGGCAGUGAAAUCAGUUUCCUUUGUUGUCACUUGUGGCGGCUGAGGGAUUUAUAUUUGUUGUCGGCGUAUCAACAUGGUAUCUUUUUGGUGUACGAGGGACAUUCAAGGUGGCUCCAGAGGCUUGCUUCUAGAGUCCUUAUAGGUGUGUUCUGAUCAUCGAGAGGGAACGAGGUCAUAAGGGUUAGGAGCAAUCCGGAUAACGCUGGGAAUAGGCACGGUUGAGUAGAGGUUUAUCUACGAAGUAGUGAACACCUACGAAGGCCUCUAUGAAAGGUAGUGUCCUUAAUCUUUUUGAUGUUGGUGAAAUGUCCAAGUUUGACCCGUCUUGAAACACGGACCAAGGAGUCUAACAUGUAUGCGAGUCUUAGAGCAGAAAACUCACGGCGAAGCGAAAGCGAAACGUAUAAGAGGCUGGGGUGACACCUGGCUGCAUUAUGGGCCGUUCUCCACAGGAGGAUCGAGUUAGAGCAUUCAUGAUGGGACCCGAAAGAUGGUGAACUAAGCAUGAGCAGAAUGAAGUCAGAGGAAACUCUGAUGGAAGUUCGUAGCGGUACUGACGUGCAAAUCGUUCGUCUGACUUGUGUUUAGGGGCGAAAGACUAAUCGAACCAUCUAGUAGCUGGUUUUCGU
rnacentral:misc_RNA from 1 species